ACAAAGAUAUAUAACAUUUAUUUUAUAAAAAUUUACUCAAUAUACAAUUUUUAAAUCAAAAACUAAUAAAAAAAAAUACGCAAAGAAUAUACACAACAGAAGAAUUGCAUUCUUCUUCAAAUAAGAAAAAAAAUCGUACUCGUGACAUUUUAUCAAAACUUCUUGUGAUGGAAUAGUGUAGCAGAAGAUGAGUGAGCGAAAGUAUCGAUAUACAAGAAGAGUUAGAUAUAUUAAAGGGAAUACCACGAGGUGGCGUCUGAAGCGAUAGAAAAAGGAGCUGGACAGAGGUACCAUUACUUGCAAGUGGUGCUUUGAACACACUCGCGUCUUUCCGUUAAACCCGAUAUUUAUUGUGCCAGUCGCCUCUCUCAUCGCUUUCAUUUAAAAAUAUUAUCGCUGACGGUGAAUGACAUCAGAAAACAUCGGCAAAAAACAUUUCGUUAUAAGAAACGUUUAACGUGCACACAUACCGGUCUGGCACCGAAAGAGUUAAUUAUGACAAAGAUGGUAUCCCG